AUGGACGCCUUCUACUCGACCUCAUCGGCAGCGGCGGCGGACGAUUGGUGUUACGACUCACACAACAAGUUCCGCGAGAUCUCCCCCGCCGUGCGAUCGCACCUCAAGCUCGUUUACCGGACCGUAUGUUUUGCCCUGGUCUCGUCCGCUGUGGGUGCUUACCUGCACGUUGCCCUCAACAUCGGCGGGAUGCUGACAAUGCUCGCGUGCAUGGGAAACAUUGUCUUGUUUUCAUUGACGCCAGUCUAUGAGGAGAGGAAGAGGUUUGUGCUGCUGAUGGCUGCUGCCAUCCUGCAAGGGGCAACGAUUUGCCCUCUGAUUCACCUUCCCAUGGACUUUGACCCAAGGGCUGCCAUAAUAUGGGUGUUGCUCUGCGCAACCAGCAUCCUUGCAACAGGGUUUGUUGGAAUUGCCAUCGCAUUAGGGUGCUUCUCUUGCGUCACCAACAUUGCCAAGCGCAGUGUCACCAGCAUUGCCAAGCGUAGUGAGUACAUGUACCUCCUUGUUCUGCUCUCUUCUGACAUGUCGAUCCUGCUCUGGCUCCAGUUGGCCACAUCCAUCUUUGUCCUCUUGACCGGCAGCUUCAUGGUUGAGGUCUACUCUGGCAUCUUGAUCUUCGUGGGAUACAUGGUGUACGACAUGCAUCAGAUCGUUGAGAGGGCACACCGCGGUGACAUGGACUACAUCGGACACGCGCUCACCCUCUUCACCGACAUCACCGCCGUCCUAGACCGGAUCUUUAUCAUAAUGGUGAGGGUGGUGAUAUGUUCCGCUCCAGCUCAAGAACGCAGGAGACAAGUCCGAGGACAAGAAGAAGAAGAGGAGCAUGUUGCAGCCCAACAAUGCAUGUAUGUCGGCAAGGAGUUGUGA
rnacentral:rRNA from 1 species